rnacentral:rRNA from 1 species
GACGAACGCUGGCGGCGUGCUUAACACAUACAAGUCGAACGGAAAGGCCCCCACUUUUUUGGUGGGGGUGCUCGAGUGGCGAACGGGUGAGUAACACGUGGGUGAUCUGCCCUGUACUUCGGGAUAAGCUUGGGAGACUGGGUCUAAUACCGGAUAGGACCAUGGUUUAGUGUCUCAUGGUGGAAAGAUUAUUGUUUUGGUGCAGGAUGAGCUCGCGGCCUAUCAGCUUGUUGGUGGGGUAAUGGCCUACCAAGGCGUCGACGGGUAGCCGGCCUGAGAGGGUGGACGGCCACAUUGGGACUGAGAUACGGCCCAGGCUCCUACGGGAGGCAGCAGUGGGGAAUAUUGCACGAUGGGCGCAAGCCUGAUGCAGCGACGCCGCGUGGGGGAUGACGGCCUUCGGGUUGUAAACUCCUUUCGUUAGGGACGAAGCCGCACCUUUUUU